CAUGCAGUCGAGCGGGGAAGGUAGCUUGCUACCUGACCUAGCGGCGGACGGGUGAGUAAUGCUUAGGAAUCUGCCUAUUAGUGGGGGACAACAUCUCGAAAGGGAUGCUAAUACCGCAUACGUCCUACGGGAGAAAGCAGGGGACCUUCGGGCCUUGCGCUAAUAGAUGAGCCUAAGUCGGAUUAGCUAGUUGGUGGGGUAAAGGCCUACCAAGGCGACGAUCUGUAGCGGGUCUGAGAGGAUGAUCCGCCACACUGGGACUGAGACACGGCCCAGACUCCUACGGGAGGCAGCAGUGGGGAAUAUUGGACAAUGGGGGGAACCCUGAUCCAGCCAUGCCGCGUGUGUGAAGAAGGCCUUUUGGUUGUAAAGCACUUUAAGCGAGGAGGAGGCUACCGAGAUUAAUACUCUUGGAUAGUGGACGUUACUCGCAGAAUAAGCACCGGCUAACUCUGUGCCAGCAGCCGCGGUAAUACAGAGGGUGCAAGCGUUAAUCGGAUUUACUGGGCGUAAAGCGCGCGUAGGUGGCCAAUUAAGUCAAAUGUGAAAUCCCCGAGCUUAACUUGGGAAUUGCAUUCGAUACUGGUUGGCUAGAGUAUGGGAGAGGAUGGUAGAAUUCCAGGUGUAGCGGUGAAAUGCGUAGAGAUCUGGAGGAAUACCGAUGGCGAAGGCAGCCAUCUGGCCUAAUACUGACACUGAGGUGCGAAAGCAUGGGGAGCAAACAGGAUUAGAUACCCUGGUAGUCCAUGCCGUAAACGAUGUCUACUAGCCGUUGGGGCCUUUGAGGCUUUAGUGGCGCAGCUAACGCGAUAAGUAGACCGCCUGGGGAGUACGGUCGCAAGACUAAAACUCAAAUGAAUUGACGGGGGCCCGCACAAGCGGUGGAGCAUGUGGUUUAAUUCGAUGCA
rnacentral:rRNA from 1 species